rnacentral:tRNA from 1 species
GGGGCCGUGGUCUAGCCAGGGUAUGACACCGGGGAUGGGACCCGAAUGUCGAGGGUUCAAAUCCUUCCGGCCCCACCA